AGCCAAUUAAGCCUCAUCUUGUCUGAUCUCAGAAAUUAAGCAGGGUUGGGCCUGGUUAGCAGCGGGAUGGGAGACCAUCUGGGAAUGUCAGGUAUUGUUGUUG
rnacentral:rRNA from 1 species